AACGAACGCUGGCGGCGUGCCUAAUACAUGCAAGUCGAACGAGAAAGUGGCUUCGGUCAUGAGUAAAGUGGCAGACGGGUGAGUAAUACAUAGGUAACCUACCUCCAAGAUGGGGAUAACCUUCCGAAAGAGGGCUAAUACCGAAUGAGACCGACAGUUACUAAGGUAACAGGGGUCAAAGAUGGCCUCUACUUGUAAGCUAUCACUUGAAGAUGGGCUUAUGCACCAUUAGCCUGUUGGUGAGGUAACGGCUCACCAAAGCUUGAUGGUUAACUGAUCUGAGAGGUUGAUCAGUCACACUGGAACUGAGACACGGUCCAGACU
rnacentral:rRNA from 1 species